rnacentral:rRNA from 1 species
UGGGGAAUAUUGCACAAUGGGCGCAAGCCUGAUGCAGCCAUGCCGCGUGUAUGAAGAAGGCCUUCGGGUUGUAAAGCACUUUCAGCGGGGAGGAAGGCGAUAAGGUUAAUAACCUUGUCGAUUGACGUUACCCGCAGAAGAAGCACCGGCUAACUCCGUGCCAGCAGCCGCGGUAAUACGGAGGGUGCAAGCGUUAAUCAGAAUUACUGGGCGUAAAGCGCACGCAGGCGGUCUGUCAAGUCGGAUGUGAAAUCCCCGGGCUCAACCUGGGAACUGCAUUCGAAACUGGCAGGCUAGAGUCUUGUAGAGGGGGGUAGAAUUCCAGGUGUAGCGGUGAAAUGCGUAGAGAUCUGGAGGAAUACCGGUGGCGAAGGCGGCCCCCUGGACAAAGACUGACGCUCAGGUGCGAAAGCGUGGGGAGCAAAUAGG